AAGUUUGAAACUGGUAACUUCGGGAGUUGAGCCACGAGCUGUUGUGCAUCCAGAGGUGGAAUUGGGGCCCGGUGGAGAGCUCUCCACAGCCAGGCCUACCAGCAGGGGAGCAACUGGAGGGUCUUAAACAUGCCCAGGACUCAGAUCCCCGCUCUCCUACUCUUGGUAUUGCACGGACACCUAUGAAGACCAGCAGUGGAGACCCCCCAAGCCCACUGGUGAAACAGCUGAGUGAAGUAUUUGAAACUGAAGACUCUAAAUCAAAUCUUCCCCCAGAGCCUGUUCUGCCCCCAGAGGCACCUUUAUCUUCUGAAUUGGACUUGCCUCUGGGUACCCAGUUAUCUGCUGAGGAACAGAUGCCACCUUGGAACCAGACUGAGUUCCCCUCCAAACAGGUGUUUUCCAAGGAGGAAGCAAGACAGCCCACAGAAACCCCUGUGGCCAGCCAGAGCUCCGACAAGCCCUCAAGGGACCCUGAGACUCCCAGAUCUUCAGGGUAAGCGGCCUUCACCCCUAAGUGAAAAUGUUAGUGAACUAAAGGAAGGAGCCAUUCUUGGAACUGGACGACUUCUGAAAACUGGAGGACGAGCAUGGGAGCAAGGCCAGGACCAUGACAAGG
rnacentral:sRNA from 1 species